rnacentral:rRNA from 1 species
AUUGAACGCUGGCGGCAGGCCUAACACAUGCAAGUCGAGCGAGAGGAGGACGGGUGAGAAAUGUGUGGGAGACUGCGUGAUGGGGAGGGGUAACUACUGGGAACGGUGGCUAAUACCGCGUACCCUCUAAUGUGCCCAGAUGGGAUUAGCUGGUGGGGGGGGUAACGGCUCACCCAGGCGACGAUCCCUAGCUGGUCUGAGAGGAUGACCAGCCACACGGGAACUGAGACACGGUCCAGACUCCUACGGGAGGCAGCAGUGGGGAAUAUUGCGCAAUGGGCGCAAGCCUGAUGCAGCCAUGCCGCGUGUGUGAAGAAGGCCUUCGGGUUGUAAAGCACUUUCAGCGGGGAGGCGUUACCCGCAGAAGAAGCACCGGCUAACUCCGUGCCAGCAGCCGCGGUAAUUC